UCGGGAAUCUUGCACAAUGGGCGAAAGCCUGAUGCAGCAACGCCGUGUGGGCGGGGAAGGCCCUCGGGUCGUAAAGCCCUGUUGUUGGGGACGAAGGGCGAAGGGUUAAUAGCCCCUAGCCUGACGGUACCCUUCGAGGAAGCCCCGGCUAACUACGUGCCAGCAGCCGCGGUAAUACGUAGGGGGCGAGCGUUAUCCGGAAUUAUUGGGCGUAAAGCGUCCGCAGGUGGUGAUUCAAGUCCGCUGUCAAAGACCGGGGCUCAACCCUGGGCCGGCAGUAGAAACUGAAGCACUAGAGUUCGGUAGGGGUAGAGGGAAUUCCCAGUGUAGCGGUGAAAUGCGUAGAGAUUGGGAAGAACACCAGUGGCGAAAGCGCUCUACUGGGCCGAGACUGACACUCAGGGACGAAAGCUAGGGGAGCGAAAGGGAUUAGAUACCCGUGUAGUCC
rnacentral:rRNA from 1 species